rnacentral:SRP_RNA from 1 species
GCUGGGCAUGGUGGCGCAUGCCUGUAAUCCCAGCUACUCAGGAGGCUGAGGCAGGAGAAUUGCUUGAAUUCAGGAGGUGGAGGUUGCAGUGAGACAAGAUCGCACCACUGCACUCCAGUCUGGGCAACACAGUGAGAUCCUGUCUCAA